ACUAGCGGGAGGGCACGAUGAUUCAGGUAGAGGAGGUGCUUUUACAAAAAACCCUGAUGCAGUAAGCAUCCCCACCCAGCUCAGGGAAUGCAGCUACCAGGUGGGAAGAGUUCUCUGGGGCUGGUCCCAGCUGUGGUCUUGCAGGGUCCCCCAACCCAGCGAGCACCUGUCCAUCUCCCUGUCCAGACUCGGCUUCCAAGGAAUAAGAAGGCCAAGACAGCAAAGUGGGAUUAUCACUCAGCACUUUUAAUAAAACUUGUUCUUGACAAAGUA
rnacentral:lncRNA from 1 species